UGUUAGUGGCGAACGGGUGCGUAACACGUGGAUAACAUAUCAAGAAGAUAGAGUUAGCACAGGGAAACCUGUGGUAAUACCUUAUGUAUUCGCGAGAAUAAAGUCAGGGACCUUCGGGCCUGACGCUUUUUGAUUGGUCUGCGGCCUAUCAGCUAGUUGGUGAGGUAAAGGCUCACCAAGGCUACGACGGGUAGCUGGUCUGAGAGGACGACCAGCCACACUGGAACUGAGACACGGUCCAGACACCUACGGGUGGCAGCAGUCGAGAAUCUUUCACAAUGGGGGCAACCCUGAUGGAGUGACGCCGCGUGGAGGAUAAGGUCUUCGGAUUGUAAACUCCUGUCAUGCAAGAGCAAAGCACCAAGUUAAUAGCUGAAGUGUUUGAUAGUAUUGCAAGAGGAAGAGACGGCAAACUCUGUGCCAGCAGCCGCGGUAAUACAGAGGUCUCAAGCGUUGUUCGGAUUUACUGGGCGUAAAGGGUGUGUAGGCGGCAAUUUCAGUCAGGUGUAAAAGCCCCGAGCUCAACUCGGUGGUCGCGCCUGAUACUAAGUUGCUAGAGUUUUUGAGGGGGAGCUGGAAUUCACGGAGUAGCAGUGAAAUGCGUAGAGAUCGUGAGGAACACCAAAGGCGAAGGCAGGCUCCUGGAAAAAUACUGACGCUGAGGCACGAGGGCUAAGGUAGCGAACGGGAUUAGAUACCCCGGUAGUCUUAGCUGUAAACGGUGCAUGCUUGGUUUGUGUGGGGUUGAUCCCAUACGAGCCGUAGUUAACACGAUAAGCAUGCCGCCUGGGAAGUACGGUCGCAAGACUAAAACUCAAAGAAAUUGACGGGGACCCGCACAAGCGGUGGAGUAUGUGGCUUAAUUCGAUGCAACGCGAAGAACCUUACCUGGGCUUGACAUGCAGUGUGUUAAUAGGGAAACUUAUUUAGCGGUGCAAUCCGCGCUCUGCACAGGUGCUGCAUGGCUGUCGUCAGCUCGUGUCGUGAGAUGUUGGGUUAAGUCCCGCAACGAGCGCAACCCUUGUAGUUUGUUGCUAACCGGUUUCCGGAGAACUCAAGCUAGACUGCCUAGAUUAACUAGGAGGAAGGUGUGGAUGACGUCAAGUCAGGAUGGCCCUUACGCCCAGGGCUGCACACGUACUACAAUGCGUUACACAAUUGGAACCGAUGCUGCGAAGCGGAGGAAAUCCCUAAAGUAAGGCUAAGUUCAGAUUGCAGGCUGCAACUCGCCUGCAUGAAGUUGGAAUCGCUAGUAAUGGCAUAUCAGCUACGGUGCCGUGAAUACGUUCCCGGGUCUUGUACACACCGCCCGUCACAUCAUGGAAGUUGGCCUUACCCAAAAACGCGAAUUCGCUGCUAAGGUAGAGCUAAUAACUGGGAUGAAGUCGUAACAAGGUAGCCGUAGGGGA
rnacentral:rRNA from 1 species